GAGUGUAUAGGAGAUUAGAGCAGAUUACAGCAGCCUUAAAGAUUGUUGGCCAUUAACGGUUAUCCAUGGCACUAAAACUACUUGAUCUCAAUACAUUCACCUCACAACACUUGUUGGCGAAAACAUGUGCUAUAGCACCAAAGAAGUUGAGGUCAAAUUAAUGAGGUCAUCGACUUGAAGAUUGAUAAAUAUGGUUCUGUUAUUAUGCAGGAGUUGUGUGAUCUGAGGAGAAACUAUUCUCAUGCAAAUCGGAUAAUUGUUGUAGGAAUUAAAAGGCACAUGAUUGUACUGUUGUUCUGGGAUUUCGUUUCUCACGUUCCUCGACCCUAAUGUCUACAUGAGAUGUGAGUUCAACGGAUAAAGGAAAUCACAU